AGAGUUGUAUCCUGGCUCAGAACGAACGUUAGCGGCGCGCCUAACACAUGCAAGUCGAGCGAGAAAGGGCUUCGGCCCCGGUAAAGCGGCGCACGGGUGAGUAACACGUGGAUAACCUACCCCUUGGUGGUGGAUAACCUUCCGAAAGGAGGGCUAAUACAGCGUAAGACCACGACUUCGAAAGAGGUUGAGGUAAAAGUGGGCCUCUGUACACAAGCUCACGCCAGGGGAUGGGCCCGCGGCCCAUCAGCUAGUU
rnacentral:rRNA from 1 species